rnacentral:rRNA from 1 species
AGAGUUUGAUCCUGGCUCAGGAUGAACGCUAGCUACAGGCUUAACACAUGCAAGUCGAGGGGAAACGACAUCGAAAGCUUGCUUUUGAUGGGCGUCGACCGGCGCACGGGUGAGUAACGCGUAUCCAACCUGCCCAUCACUUGGGGAUAACCUUGCGAAAGUAAGACUAAUACCCAAUGACGUCUCUAGAAGACAUCUGAAAAGAGAUUAAAGAUUUAAUCGGUGAUGGAUGGGGAUGCGUCUGAUUAGCUUGUUGGCGGGGUAACGGCCGACCAAGGCGACGAUCAGUAGGGGUUCUGGAGAGGAAGGUCCCCCACAUUGGAACUGAGACACGGUCCAAACUCCUACGGGAGGCA